UCUCCCUACAGCAAAAGGCACAGACCACGUAAGGACAGAACCCACAGCCACGGCUCUCCCGGUUACCUGUCAGAGGAACUGUUCAGGACUCAUGAGCCGGGCGUGAUAAAUAGUCCACUUAUUUACAGGGCCGGCUGGGAGCUGAAACCUGCCAGCAUUCCAGUCUGUUUUCUCCUGACACCUCCACCCUCAGCCCCUGGCUCUGCAAUGCUAAGGAAGAAAUGUACUGUCUCACACCUCACCUUCCACGUGGUAAGACGAUUGUACGUUCACCAUCAGUAUCAAGUCUUUCAAAACUAUAUUUACCACCACAAUAAAGAUAAUUCUUUGUU